GGCGGAGCCAACUCCGCCUGGCACCCCGGAGGAUGGGGGGGUGCGGGGAACGAGGCACCAGACCCCGGCUCCAAAGCCCCCCAGCCCUUCACAGCGGCGCAGCCCCGCUCCCGCCACGCCACGUACCGCCCGGGGAAACCAACCGCCGCGUACAGUCAGUGCAGAGCCUGAGCAGCGAGCGCCCCCGGCCCUGCGCCCCGCAGGUGUGCAUGUACCUCCGAGCACAGUCGUCAGAGAUUUUUGCUCUGCUGACGUCCAGAGAGUGCAAUCUACGCUCCUCUUCAGACUUAUGAAGCUUUGGGAAGAAGACUGGCAAGAAUAUGUCCUGGCUCACAUGAAACAACCUUGGGUAGGAAAGCUGGGUGCAGCUGCAGGUGGACUUUGUCCUUGAAAAACACCAUAUAGGGUGGCUCCAAGGUAAGCGCCCUAAUCUCAGAGACCCUACAAGCAGACGUUAUUGCUACCAGGAAUGACACCUUCCAGGAGACAAGAAGAGAACAGGAAGCCAAUGGCUCGAAUGGGGCACCCAUGAGCUGUGCCAGCACUAGAUUCAGGUCUGAAGGAGGGAUGGGGUCCUGGACAUGGGGAUGGAGUCACUCAGACCCUUCAAGAACCGGACUGUCAUGUCGUGAGUGAAGACCAAGCUGCCCUGGACUGGAGGGUGAAAGGCUGAUAUAGUGGCCAAGUGGACCUUAAUUGAUGAAAGGGAUAAGCCCUGGAGCUUAAGAUGUAGAAGGUAGUCCAGGAUUGAUUGCACCCAGGCCUGCUCAGGCCUAAUACCCUGGUCCAAGGCGAGAAGGUCCUGCUGAGGUGAUCUGCUAGUAUGUUCCUGCUCCCCUGGAGGCCACAAGAUGAAUGGCAUGCUGCACACAGAAGUCCCAGAGCUGGAGAGCUUUCUGGCAAAGGGCUGUCAAUCUGGCUCCGCACUGCUUGUUGAUAUAAAACAUUGCAGCAGUGUUGUCCAUCAGGACUUGUACUACCUUGCCCUUCAAGUGGGACCAGAAAGCGCGACAGGCCAAACCAACUGGUCUGAGCUCCCUGAUAUUUAUGUGGAGGGAGCGACUGUCCCAUGAUCAGCGACCUUGCAUGCUGAGUUCAACCUCAAGCCCAGGCCCAAGGCAUCGGAAACCAGGGUCAGCAACGAGUCCAGGGCUGUGAAGGGAACCCCCUCCAACACUGAUUUGGGGUCCAACUACCAUUCCAGUGACAACCAGAUGUGGUCCAGCAUCCUGACUACCAGGUCUAGAUCAUGCUUGUUGCAGGUGUAGACCUGACGUCAGCUACGCUUGCGGCGGCCGGAGAUGGAGCCGGGCAUGACGGACCACUUUACUAAUAGGCCCAGGUCGUGACAGGUAGAACACACCAGAUAAAGACUUCUCUGCACUUGAUCCUGUGAUCUGCCCUUGAUGAGCCAAUCAUCGAGAUAAAGAUAGACUUGGACCCCUCGACGUCUCCGACCCCUGUUAAGAUUGCCACAGCCUUGGCGAUGGGAGUGGCCAGAACUGCUUCCUCGCUGACUGAGACGUAUGGAGACCCAGCAAGCGGAAGGUGGCCCAAGUGUCCUUUAGCCCAUACAGCCUCGCAUCUUUCCAACCCCAUCAAACAGGAGGUCCUACAUUGAGGACUGCAUCUCCUGGGACAAGCCCCCAGUCUCAGGCCAAGAACUGCACCUCAUGAUCACUGCUGAAGCGACCAGCCUGGCCGUCGAAUCAGCUACGUCCCACACCAUUUGGAGGGAGCACUGUGCCUCUGUAAUACCCUCCUAAAUAAGGGACCCAAAUUCUUGGGCUGAGUCCUGGGGUAGGGAGUCCCAUAAGUUAAAGUUUUAUCUCAACCAAAAGAACCUAGUGGUUUGCGACCCUGAACUGAAGGCUGGCCGUGGAAUAAAUUUACCUUCAAAAAAUCCUCUUGGCCUCAUUGCUGCUGGCGGUAACUCUGCCUUCAGAGCUGGGCUCCCAGCCAGCAGCCACGACCUCAAGGCUGCCCAGCUCUGAAGGCAGGGCCGCUGCCAGCAGCAGUACUGCAACCCCCCCUACAAUAACCUUGUGACCACCCCACAACUCCUUUUUGGGCCAGGAUCCCUACAAUUAUAACACCAUGAAAUUUCAGAUUUAAAUAGGUGAAAUCAUGGAAUUUACCAUUUUUAAAAUCCUAUGACCAUGAAAUUAACCAAGCUCAAGAGUCCCAGUCUUUUUAAUCCCUGUUCAAUACCCCUAAUCAUUUUUGUUGCCCUUCUCUGUACCUUUUCCAAUUGCAAUAUACCUUUCUAGAGAUGGGGCAACCAGAUAUGCACACAGUAUUCAAGAUGUGGGUGUACCAAGGAUUUAAAUAGAGGCAUUAUGACAUUUUUUGUCUUGUUAUCUAUCCCUUUCAGCAGCUGAAUGUAAACCAAAAAGGUAGGAUGCAGCAUACCCAGAAACUUGAGAAGUAGGAGGGUAAUUUUGAAACUCAGAAAAGGUGAUUGUAGGAUGUGUGUGUCAUUUGAAAAUGGUUUACAUUAGGAACAUGCUUACAGCAUCUUAUCCCUUAGAGGAAAAAUAAACGUUUAUAGCUUAUCUUAAGGUAUUUAUAUUAUCAUAUCUAAGUGCAUCACAUUUGUCAGUGUAUAGAAAUACAUUCCAUGUGUAGUACGGAAUAUUAGCAUCUCCAUUUACAGAUGGGGAACUGAGACACAAAGUUUAAGACUCAGAUUUUAAAGCUAUUUAUGUGUUGCUGUGCUUAGUAUCACAAAUCCAACUGAUUUAGAAGCCUAAAUCUCAUUUUCAAAAGGGAUUUUGGUGUUUACGAUUCUAAAUUCCAUCAUCAAAACAGUUAUUAUACCAUUAUACAAAUGGGUAAACAUUAUGGCAAAGAGGUUGACUGAGCAGUGCAAGCUACCAUAACAAUGAGUGAGUGAUAGAGCAAGAAAUGGACCCAUUACCCACAAAUUGAACUAUUUUCAGGUUUAGUGUACAGGAGAAGGUUGUAUGUGCUUACAAUGCUGUCUAAACAGGUUACCAGCUCUGUGACGCAGACAGACCAGCUCAGAUCAGAGCAACAGGACAAUUCACUUAUGUAUGUAUAUCAAACAAAUGCUAAAAGGUCAUAAUAUGUUCAAGCCAAUUCACUUGUUAGAAUAGAACAAAGAAGGGUGUUAUCACAUUACAAUUUACUUGACAGGUGCCCAGUAAUUACAUUUGUUUAAAUGCAUGAAAGCUAGUGAAAUGGUAAUGUUAUUGUCUUCACCAAUCUGUUUCCUGUGAUUGCUAUCCUGUACUUAGAUUUAAAUUGAAAUAUGUGUUAGUGUUUAGAUGUAAAUGUACUUGAUAUAUAACACUGCACGAAAACUAAUGAAGAAUUGUUUCUGGCUAUCACAUUGUGUUUAUAUUAUGUUUACCCAUGCAAGCUUGGAGCAUUGGAAAUGUAAAUGAAGAAGGUUGCUGACUUCAAAGCAAGAGCCAUUGUUUCAUUCAAUGGGGUUCACAGUCCCAGUCUGAAUUUCCUAAUCUUCAUCAGCAAAGGAAGCACCCACAUGGGUGAAGAGGCUUGUCAGCUUGCCUUAUGUGAGCCUGAUCUAUAAAUACUGAUUCAAUUGAAUGAUUCUGCAUCUCUGGACUGAUGAAUACUGACAGGGUGGAAUUCUGAGUGGUUGGACCAAGAUCCCUAGAGCCAUUCUAGGAAACCCUGAGAGACUAUUGAAAACCCCGCAAAUUACUACCCCUCUGCCAUCGUAUUGGACCUACUAAGUUUGAUUCACCUGUAAUGUAUUUUAGCUGCUUUAAACUUUCAAUAACUCAUUUCUUUUUCUUAACUAAUAAAUCUUUAGUUUAGUUUAUUAAA